CCAGCACCCGCGGUAAUUCCAGCUCCAAUAGCGUAUAUUAAAGUUGUUGCAGUUAAAAAGCUCGUAGUUGGACCUGUGCAUGUCCCUAGGUGUCCAUAUUGUUUGGUACGUUCUAGGGCGUGCAUCCUUGGGUGGAACCUGUGUGGCAUUAGGUUGUCGUGCAGGGGAUGCUCAUCGUUUACUGUGAAAAAAUUAGAGUGUUCAAAGCAGGCUUAUGCCGUUGAAUAUAUUAGCAUGGAAUAAUAAGAUAGGACCUUGGUACUAUUUUGUUGGUUUGCGCACCGAGGUAAUGAUUAACAGGGACAGUUGGGGGUAUUCGUAUUCCAUUGUCAGAGGUGAAAUUCUUGGAUUUUUGGAAGACGAACUACUGCGAAAGCAUUUACCAAGGAUGUUUUCAUUAAUCAAGAACGAAAGU
rnacentral:rRNA from 1 species